UUAAGCGACUAAGCGUACACGGUGGAUGCCCUGGCAGUCAGAGGCGAUGAAGGACGUGCUAAUCUGCGAAAAGCGUCGGUAAGGUGAUAUGAACCGUUAUAACCGGCGAUGUCCGAAUGGGGAAACCCAGUGCAAUUCGUUGCACUAUCGUUAACUGAAUACAUAGGUUAACGAGGCGAACCGGGGGAACUGAAACAUCUAAGUACCCCGAGGAAAAGAAAUCAACCGAGAUUCCCCCAGUAGCGGCGAGCGAACGGGGAGCAGCCCAGAGUCUGAAUCAGCUUGUGUGUUAGUGGAACGGUCUGGAAAGUCCGACGGUACAGGGUGAUAGUCCCGUACACCAAAAUGCACAGGCUGUGAACUCGAAGAGUAGGGCGGGACACGUGGUAUCCUGUCUGAAUAUGGGGGGACCAUCCUCCAAGGCUAAAUACUCCUGACUGACCGAUAGUGAACCAGUACCGUGAGGGAAAGGCGAAAAGAACCCCGGCGAGGGGAGUGAAAAAGAACCUGAAACCGUGUACGUACAAGCAGUGGGAGCACCUUCGGGUGUGACUGCGUACCUUUUGUAUAAUGGGUCAGCGACUUAUAUUCUGUAGCAAGGUUAACCGUAUAGGGGAGCCGCAGGGAAACCGAGUCUUAACUGGGCGUUAAGUUGCAGGGUAUAGACCCGAAACCCGGUGAUCUAGCCAUGGGCAGGUUGAAGGUUGGGUAACACUAACUGGAGGACCGAACCGACUAAUGUUGAAAAAUUAGCGGAUGACUUGUGGCUGGGGGUGAAAGGCCAAUCAAACCGGGAGAUAGCUGGUUCUCCCCGAAAGCUAUUUAGGUAGCGCCUCGUGAAUUCAUCUUCGGGGGUAGAGCACUGUUUCGGCUAGGGGGUCAUCCCGACUUACCAACCCGAUGCAAACUACGAAUACCGAAGAAUGUUAUCACGGGAGACACACGGCGGGUGCUAACGUCCGUCGUGAAGAGGGAAACAACCCAGACCGCCAGCUAAGGUCCCAAAGUCAUGGUUAAGUGGGAAACGAUGUGGGAAGGCACAGACAGCCAGGAUGUUGGCUUAGAAGCAGCCAUCAUUUAAAGAAAGCGUAAUAGCUCACUGGUCGAGUCGGCCUGCGCGGAAGAUGUAACGGGGCUAAACCAUGCACCGAAGCUGCGGCAGCGACACUAUGUGUUGUUGGGUAGGGGAGCGUUCUGUAAGCCUGCGAAGGUGACCUGUGAGGGUUGCUGGAGGUAUCAGAAGUGCGAAUGCUGACAUAAGUAACGAUAAAGCGGGUGAAAAGCCCGCUCGCCGGAAGACCAAGGGUUCCUGUCCAACGUUAAUCGGGGCAGGGUGAGUCGACCCCUAAGGCGAGGCCGAAAGGCGUAGUCGAUGGGAAACAGGUUAAUAUUCCUGUACUUGGUGUUACUGCGAAGGGGGGACGGAGAAGGCUAUGUUAGCCGGGCGACGGUUGUCCCGGUUUAAGCAUGUAGGCUGGUUGUCCAGGCAAAUCCGGAUAAUCAAGGCUGAGGUGUGAUGACGAGGCACUACGGUGCUGAAGUAACAAAUGCCCUGCUUCCAGGAAAAGCCUCUAAGCAUCAGGUAACAUUAAAUCGUACCCCAAACCGACACAGGUGGUCAGGUAGAGAAUACCAAGGCGCUUGAGAGAACUCGGGUGAAGGAACUAGGCAAAAUGGUGCCGUAACUUCGGGAGAAGGCACGCUGGUGUGUAGGUGAAGUCCCUGCGGAUGGAGCUGAGACCAGUCGAAGAUACCAGCUGGCUGCAACUGUUUAUUAAAAACACAGCACUGUGCAAACACGAAAGUGGACGUAUACGGUGUGACGCCUGCCCGGUGCCGGAAGGUUAAUUGAUGGGGUUAUCCGUAAGGAGAAGCUCUUGAUCGAAGCCCCGGUAAACGGCGGCCGUAACUAUAACGGUCCUAAGGUAGCGAAAUUCCUUGUCGGGUAAGUUCCGACCUGCACGAAUGGCGUAAUGAUGGCCAGGCUGUCUCCACCCGAGACUCAGUGAAAUUGAACUCGCUGUGAAGAUGCAGUGUACCCGCGGCAAGACGGAAAGACCCCGUGAACCUUUACUAUAGCUUGACACUGAACAUUGAGCCUUGAUGUGUAGGAUAGGUGGGAGGCUUUGAAGCGUGGACGCCAGUCUGCGUGGAGCCAACCUUGAAAUACCACCCUUUAAUGUUUGAUGUUCUAACGUUGGCCCCUUACCGGGGUUGCGGACAGUGUCUGGUGGGUAGUUUGACUGGGGCGGUCUCCUCCCAAAGCGUAACGGAGGAGCACGAAGGUUAGCUAAUCCUGGUCGGACAUCAGGAGGUUAGUGCAAUGGCAUAAGCUAGCUUGACUGCGAGCGUGACGGCGCGAGCAGGUGCGAAAGCAGGUCAUAGUGAUCCGGUGGUUCUGAAUGGAAGGGCCAUCGCUCAACGGAUAAAAGGUACUCCGGGGAUAACAGGCUGAUACCGCCCAAGAGUUCAUAUCGACGGCGGUGUUUGGCACCUCGAUGUCGGCUCAUCACAUCCUGGGGCUGAAGUAGGUCCCAAGGGUAUGGCUGUUCGCCAUUUAAAGUGGUACGCGAGCUGGGUUUAGAACGUCGUGAGACAGUUCGGUCCCUAUCUGCCGUGGGCGCUGGAGAAUUGAGGGGGGCUGCUCCUAGUACGAGAGGACCGGAGUGGACGCAUCACUGGUGUUCGGGUUGUCAUGCCAAUGGCACUGCCCGGUAGCUAAAUGCGGAAGAGAUAAGUGCUGAAAGCAUCUAAGCACGAAACUUGCCCCGAGAUGAGUUCUCCCUGAGACUUUAAGUCUCCUGAAGGAACGUUGAAGACGACGACGUUGAUAGGCCGGGUGUGUAAGCGCAGCGAUGCGUUGAGCUAACCGGUACUAAUGAACCGUGAGGCUUAACCUU
rnacentral:rRNA from 1 species